GUCCCAGUAGCUCAACGGACAGAGCAGUUUCCUUCUAAGAAAAAGGUUGGGGGUUCGAUUCCCUCCUGGGACG
rnacentral:tRNA from 1 species